rnacentral:rRNA from 1 species
AUUGAACGCUGGCGGCAGGCCUAACACAUGCAAGUCGAACGGAGUGGCGGACGGGUGAGUAAUGCCUAGGAAUCUGCCUGGUAGUGGGGGAUAACGUCCGGAAACGGGCGCUAAUACCGCAUACUAUCAGAUGAGCCUAGGUCGGAUUAGCUAGUUGGUGGGGUAAAGGCCUACCAAGGCGACGAUCCGUAACUGGUCUGAGAGGAUGAUCGGUCACACUGGAACUGAGACACGGUCCAGACUCUUACGGGAGGCAGCAGGGGGAAAUAUUGGACAAUGGGCGAAAGCCUGAUCCAGCCAUGCCGCGUGUGUGAAGAGGGUCUUCGGAUUGAAAAGCACUUUAAGUUGGGAGGCGUUACCAACAGAAUAGGCACCGGUUAACUUCGUGCCAGCGGCGCCGGAAUUC